rnacentral:rRNA from 1 species
CAAUAGCGUAUAUUUAAGUUGUUGCAGUUAAAAAGCUCGUAGUUGGAUUUCGGGUGGGACGCAGCGGUCUCGCAUUGCGUUUGUACUGCUGCAGCCCUCCUUCUUGCCGGGGGCGGCCUCUCGGACUUCACUGUCUGGGGGUCAGAAUCGGCGAUGUUACUUUGAGUAAAUUAGAGUGUUCAAAGCAAGCUUACGCUCUGAAUAUAAUAGCAUGGGAUAACACGACAGGACUCUGGCCUAUCGUGUUGGUCUAUAGGACCAGAGUAAUGAUUAAGAGGGACAGUCGGGGGCAUUCGUAUUCCGUUGACAGAGGUGAAAUUCUUGGAUUUACGGAAGACGAACAUCUGCGAAAGCAUUUGCCAAGGAUGUUUUCAUUGA